rnacentral:rRNA from 1 species
GACGAACGCUGGCGGCGUGCUUAACACAUGCAAGUCGAACGGACAGGCCCUGCUUUUGUGGGGUGCUCGAGUGGCGAACGGGUGAGUAACACGUGAGUAACCUGCCCUUGACUUUGGGAUAACUUCAGGAAACUGGGGCUAAUACCGGAUAGGAGCUCCUGCUGCAUGGUGGGGGUUGGAAAGUUUCGGCGGUUGGGGAUGGACUCGCGGCUUAUCAGCUUGUUGGUGGGGUAGUGGCUUACGAAGGGUUUGACGGGUAGCCGGCCUGAGAGGGUGACCGGCGACAUUGGGACUGAGAGACGGCCCAGACGCCUACGGGAGGCAGCAGUGGGGAGUAUGGCACAAUGGGCGGAAGCCUGAUGCAGCAACGCCGCGUGCGGGAUGACGGCCUUCGGGUUGUGAACCGCUUUCGCCUGUGACGAAGCGUGAGUGACGGUAAUGGGUAAAGAAGCACCGGCUAACUACGUG